rnacentral:lncRNA from 1 species
UUUAACAAUUUAUAUACUUGUCUGACGAAGAAUAAGAAGAGUAUACAAGGGACAGGAUCAGGCUUACAGAGAAGGUGAAAACAAGAUAUAUAUAUAUAUAUAUAUGUGUGUGCAGCAGCACAGGGCAGCAGCAGACGAAGCAGUACGGAUAGUUUUAGUCCCUGCAAAUUAAGAGUCAUCAAUGCGUUUCUACCAUCCAUCACAAGCCCUUCUAAAUGCUAAAUCCGCAUAGAACAAAUACAAUUAAGGUAUCCAGAAUGAAGUUGCAGCACUCAGUACUAUACCAGGAGGUCUGCCUGGGUCAUCCAUACUCUUUCGAGUCAUAACGCGAACAUCAUCAGCCCCACUCCCAGACAAAGUUGUCCAUGUGUGUGCGGUUGAAGCUCCAACACCGCUGCAAAAGCUCAGAACCAUUCUCUCAGCCAGCUUCAACAUACUCUUUCUCCCUUCUGGAGUGGUUAUUACUGUGAAAUGAAACAAACCCUUUGUUAAAUAAUCAUGUAUUUAUCAAAUAUAUUCGUAUUAUAUGUGUUAAUCAGACUACUAUUAAGGUAGAAAUCCUAACUAUUACUUUGUUAAUACUUACCUCCAACAUCUCCUGAAGGAAUAUUGUUAGCCAUUACGCUUGCAAGCCGUUCACAUUGCCUAUCUAAAGUUGCCACCCAUCGCUUUGCCCCAAACGCCAGACCAGAGUUCACCAGUAACUUAUAGAUAUUGUGAACAGCUCUAUCAUCAAAUUCAACAUGUUCAACCCAUGUUACCUACAAAACCGAAAAACAUGCAUGAUUGAAUACAAUUUUCUGAUUUAAGAAAUCUUACGAAGGUGUAAAUCUCUUUCAGGUUUUCUACCUUGGAAUAUCCAUUGGGUUGUUCUUGAAUUAAACAACCAGAGGGCCUUCUUCUAGAUCUUGAAACUGAAGAAGGGCGCAAAUUGUCCAAAGACACAUCAACUACAGCCCAAGUACCAUCAGCAUGUUGUUUACAAUACCUAACAAAGUAGUUUUCUCGGGUUGGAACCAGUGGUGAAGGAACUUGAAACUCAGCUGACAUCUGAUAUAUUAUAUAUCGAUAUGUUAAACUUAUACAUGAUCAUACAAAACUAGAUUUAUAGUUAUGGUGUACAACUCCUAGCUUACCACUUGAAGAGCACCAUUGUAAUUGCCAGCAACACCGGUUGAAAGAACUUCCAAGGUCAUUGCUCUUGAAACAAUGCCAGAAAACACAUUUGACCAUUGAUUCUGAAAAGCCAUUGUGGGGUUCAAGUAAUCAGAUCAUAAUCAAUACAGCAAAUCAAUAGAUCCUACAAAUUACUUUUUAGAUCAAAUUUACACACUUAAAAAUUUGAACAUUUUUUAACAAGGUAUGUGUUUGAAGAAUUUUAACAUGCGUUGUACAUGAAGACUCUAAAUAAAACUUGACACUCAAAGUGUACAAAAAAUUAAAAACGUGUUCAAGUGUAAAAACUUCAUGUUUUAAGCCAUUCUUUUUCCAAUCUUCAUUCAUAAAUGUACAUGUCUUCACAUUCUGAAACAAAAACACUUAAAUCAUGGUACGUAUGUGAAAACUUUACAAGUGUGAUGUUUCAAUAACCUUCAUCCAGAUGUAAGUUUAAGCUAAUUUAUAUAUACACUAAAAAGUGUGAGACAAAUUUAUUAGUCUUUUGUGUUUGUAUAAACCAUGACCAAAUAUUGUAUUUGUUGCACAAAAAAGAAAAGGGAUAUUCUGUAGACAUAUACCACAUCCAUUAGAAGUUCAACUAGAGUGAUAUGAUUCAUGAUGACAACUGCGGAUUCUCUUGAAGCCUCAGAUUUUAAUCCCAACUGUUUUGGACCCAUCCCACGAGGAAACAUCCUCAAGUACUCAUCUUCACUCAAGGUCUCGGAUGAGUUUUCCGAGCUUGGAAUCCACAAGGGUUCAUUAACCUGAGCCAUUCUGAUUAGCUCCUCCAUUGCUGCAACCGCCAGCUCUAUUAUGAUUGGCUUGUCUGCCUCGGUUGGUCCUGACACGGACCGGAGAAGGUCAUUUGCCCCAAACAUCUCUCCUACCAUCCCUUGUUGUGGACUAAAACUAGUAACACCUUGAUCAAGUGAUCGAGUUGGUCCAUGAGGCGACAUAUUCGGAUAAUUCAACAUUGGCUUGCCAACAUACUUUGCAGCGAUUCCAGAUAUCCUAUCAAUCUUUUGGAAAACAACAAAUAAAUCAACAAUUUCUUAGACAUGUUGAAUAUACUAUACUAACAAAAAUAUAUAAAGGAUAUUGAAUUCAACUUACCUCUUCACGUAGCCUUGCAUUUUCUAUUCUCAAUUGUUGUUCAUCAAAAGACAUCUCUCCAAUAGCAGCAGGACCACCACAGUUUGGACAAGUGGCAUUGGCAAGGGCUUCUUUGUAACGUAUAUUUUCGGAUCGAAGCUUUUCAUUUUCAUUCCUCAGUUGUGUAUUCUCAUGGCGUUCGUGUU